rnacentral:rRNA from 1 species
AGAUUGAACGCUGGCGGCAGGCUUAACACAUGCAAGUCGAGCGGUAACAUUUCUAGCUUGCUAGAAGAUGACGAGCGGCGGACGGGUGAGUAAUGCUUGGGAAUAUGCCUUAUGGUGGGGGACAACAGUUGGAAACGACUGCUAAUACCGCAUAACGUCUACGGACCAAAGGGGGGGAUCUUCGGACCUCUCGCCAUUUGAUUAGCCCAAGUGAGAUUAGCUAGUUGGUAAGGUAAUGGCUUACCAAGGCGACGAUCUCUAGCUGGUUUGAGAGGAUGAUCAGCCACACUGGGACUGAGACACGGCCCAGACUCCUACGGGAGGCAGCAGUGGGGAAUAUUGCACAAUGGGGGAAACCCUGAUGCAGCCAUGCCGCGUGUGUGAAGAAGGCCUUCGGGUUGUAAAGCACUUUCAGUUGUGAGGAAAGGGAUGUAGUUAAUAGCUGCAUUCUGUGACGUUAACAACAGAAGAAGCACCGGCUAACUUCGUGCCAGCAGCCGCGGUAAUACGAGGGGUGCAAGCGUUAAUCGGAAUUACUGGGCGUAAAGCGUUCGUAGGCGGUUUAUUAAGCAAGAUGUGAAAGCCCAGGGCUCAACCUUGGAACUGCAUUUUGAACUGGUAGACUAGAGUACUGUAGAGAGUGGUGGAAUUUCCAGUGUAGCGGUGAAAUGCGUAGAGAUUGGAAGGAACAUCAGUGGCGAAGGCGGCCACCUGGACAGAUACUGACGCUGAGGAACGAAAGCGUGGGGAGCGAACAGGAUUAGAUACCCUGGUAGUCCACGCCGUAAACGAUGUCAACUAGCCGUUCGUGUCCUUGAGACGUGAGUGGCGCAGCUAACGCACUAAGUUGACCGCCUGGGGAGUACGGCCGCAAGGUUA